rnacentral:rRNA from 1 species
ACAUGCAAGUCGAACGAAGUAGCAAUACUUAGUGGCAGACGGGUGAGUAACAUGUAGGUAUCUUCCCUUUGGUCUGGAAUAACACGAGGAAACUUGUGCUAAUACCGGAUAAGUCUUCACAGAGAAAGCUUUAUGCACCAUUGGAUGAGCCUGCACUUGAUUAGUUAGUUGGUAGGGUAAUGGCCUACCAAGACUUUGAUCAAUAGCUGAUUUGAGAGGAUGAUCAGCCACAUUGGGACUGAGACACGGCCCAAACUCCUACGGGAGGCAGCAGUGGGGAAUCUUGCACAAUGGAGGAAACUCUGAUGCAGCGAUGCCGCGUGAGUGAAGAAGGCCCUUGGGUUGUAAAGCUCUUUCGUCGGGGAAGAAAAUGACUGUACCCGAAUAAGAAGGUCCGGCUA